rnacentral:lncRNA from 1 species
CAUAAGUUGAAAUCUACGAUGGAUAUCAGUGAGACAAGGCUGGAAGAUUGGUGGCGGUGAACUGGAACACACGGUGUGCGUCACCAAACAUCAAAGGACUGUGCUGUCACUAUUGGAUGGAGAACAUUAUAUCGUUCAAGACACGAAACGUCUAGGGA